rnacentral:rRNA from 1 species
GAGUUUGAUCGUGGCUCAGAUUGAACGCUGGCGGCAGGCUUAACACAUGCAAGUCGAGCGGGGGAGGUUGCUUCGGUAACUGACCUAGCGGCGAACGGGUGAGUAAUACUUAGGAAUCUGCCUAUUAAUGGGGGACAACAUCUCGAAAGGGAUGCUAAUACCGCAUACGCCCUACGGGGGAAAGCAGGGGAUCACUUGUGACCUUGCGUUAAUAGAUGAGCCUAAGUCGGAUUAGCUAGUUGGUGGGUAAAGGCCUACCAAGGCGACGAUCUGUAGCGGGUCUGAGAGGAUGAUCCGCCACACUGGGACUGAGACACGGCCCAGACUCCUACGGGAGGCAGCAGUGGGGAAUAUUGGACAUGGGGGGAACCCUGGAUCCAGCCAUGCCGCGUGUGUG